UAGGGAAUCUUCUGCAAUGGACGAAAGUCUGACCGAGCAACGCCGCGUGAGUGAAGAAGGUUUUCGGAUCGUAAAACUCUGUUGUUAGAGAAGAACAAGGACGUUAGUAACUGAACGUCCCCUGACGGUAUCUAACCAGAAAGCCACGGCUAACUACGUGCCAGCAGCCGCGGUAAUACGUAGGUGGCAAGCGUUGUCCGGAUUUAUUGGGCGUAAAGCGAGCGCAGGCGGUUUCUUAAGUCUGAUGUGAAAGCCCCCGGCUCAACCGGGGAGGGUCAUUGGAAACUGGGAGACUUGAGUGCAGAAGAGGAGAGUGGAAUUCCAUGUGUAGCGGUGAAAUGCGUAGAUAUAUAGAGGAACACCAGUGGCGAAGGCGGCUCUCUGGUCUGUAACUGACGCUGAGGCUCGAAAGCGUGGGGAGCAAACAGG
rnacentral:rRNA from 1 species